rnacentral:rRNA from 1 species
GGAAUUGUUCGCAAUGGGCGCAAGCCUGACGACGCAAUGCCGCGUGGAGGAUGAAGGAUUUCGGUCCGUAAACUCCUUUCGACCGAGAUGAACGAUCGCCGACCUAACACGUCGGCGGCGUGACAGUAUCGAGGGAAGAAGCCCCAGCUAACUCCGUGCCAGCAGCCGCGGCAAUACGGGGGGGGCGAGCGUUGUUCGGAAUUACUGGGCGUAAAGGGUUCGUAGGUGGCUUGCUAAGUCAGACGUGAAAUCCCUCGGCUCAACCGGGGAAUUGCGUCUGAAACUGGCGAGCUUGAGUGCAGGAGAGGAACGCGGAAUUCCAGGUGUAGCGGUGAAAUGCGUAGAUAUCUGGAGGAACACCGGUGGCGAAGGCGGCGUUCUGGACUGCAACUGACACUGAGGAACGAAAGCCAGGGUAGCAAA